CUUUGACACCAAGCCGAAGGCAUUGGCCCCUGGGAGUACCAAGUCAGGGAUACUGCGAAAUUGACUCCUCUAGGUUUUCAGAAAGGGACCAGAAAUGUCAUGUGAACUGGAGAUUAAAGGGUGGCUAAGUCGCCCUGGGUUUAGAGUACAGGAUAAGACAUCAGGGAAGUCCAGGGUCAGGGACCUUAAAAGGUGCAGAGGAUGGUACCUCAGAGUGCACCCCCUUUAGUAAACUGAGGCCCUAAGGGAAUACCUGAUUGAGAGUAAGGUAUCCCAGGGUGGGGUUUAGGCUACAUCGCAAACCUGCAUCUUGUAAUUGUGGAAGCAACAUAUGUACGGAGUUGUCUGGUGGGUUUCUUUGGGGCUAGUUUGCCUCUUUGUUAUUAACCACAACAAAGGAACCUUAAAGAGAACUCAACUUCUGCCAUUAAAUAAUUACAUCCAACACAGGAAAUGGGAAGGAUAUUGACGGACAUAAGGAGAUUCAGCUUCAUAGUCACUUUGCAUCUACAUAUUGGUUUGUGCCCUGUCACGACCAGAUCAAGGAGAAAGAUUAAACACUUUAAGAUGAGAAAAAAUGACCUGUGUUUGAGCUCUGAGGGGGCGGAAGUGAUUUUAGCUACAUCAAGUGAUGAAAAACACCCUCCUGAAAAUAUGAUUGAUGGGAAUCCAGAUACAUUUUGGACCACAACAGGAAUGUUUCCCCAAGAGUUCAUUAUUUGUUUUCACAAACAUGUAAGGAUUGAAAGACUUGUAAUCCAAAGUUACUUUGUGAGGACGUUGAGGAUUGAAAAGAGCACCUCUAAAGAGCCAGUUGAUUUUGAGCCAUGGAUUGAAAGAGAUCUAGUCCACACAGAGGGGCAGCUUCAAAAUGAAGAAAUUAUGGAAACACGAGGGAUGGAUAAACAAGUAAAAUGACACCAAAAGGAAGCAAAUAGACUAGAGGCCAUUUUGUAGCUCACUGAAAUGUGCAGAGCUGCGCCUUCCCUGCACAAGGUAAGAUAUGCUUCCUGGCCUUCUUGGCUUGGGUAGGGCCAUGUGACCAAUUGUGGGUGAUGAGAUGAGGGGAAAGUGAUUGCUAGGCCGAGCAUUUAAUUGCCUGCAUGAGACACUUCAAAGCUCUUUUUUUUUUUCUCUGUCACAACGACCGGCCGUGACGUUCUACACAGUAACUACUUCAUCAGUCUGGGUCUGGAAGUGAGCCUGGUGAUGGCAGGUAGCAGACCUCUCAGCCAGUGUGAAAUGGACAUACAGAAGGAAAAAUAAAGGUUCAUCGUUUUAAGUCCAUGAAAUUUGGAGUAUAACCUGGCCUGUCCCGACCGAUUCACAGACAAGUCUAGAAUGUGGCUUAUCCUACAGAGCAAGUGACCUGGUUUCUUCAAGUCAGUGGCCUGAAAAAUGACUCAAGCCAUCUCAGCCCUGAGGUAGCUUCAGAGGAGGGGGAAUGUCCCCAGAGGGCUAAGGUUAAUAAACUCCAAAUGGCAGCGGAGAUGAAACUGAAGGAGAGACAGGCAGGACACAGCAGAGGAGGUGCUGGAGGACGCAUGGUGAAGGCGGGCUGCCGUGAGAAAAUCCAGCAGGCUGGGGGCUUAAACAGACAUUUAUUUUCUCACACUUCUGGAGACUGAAAGGCCAAGCUCAGAGUGCCAGCAUCGUUGGUUUCUGGCAAUGGCCCCUGGACCAAAUGAGGCACCUCCAGCGUAUGGUAUUUUUGCUGAUCAGAUCACACUGGGCUAUAAUUAAAGCUGAAACAGGCUGACACAAAUUGGAAAAGGAAAUGUAAAGAUCACACCGAAGCCAUCCCAAAUAGCCUGAGAUGUUUUAAUCAUUCUGUAUUAGCUUUACUGCAUCUUAAAACAUUUUCGUUCAAGUCAA